UGUGAGCAGCUCUCAGGAGGGAGAGCAGAUAGUUUUUGAGCUUAACUGAGCAGCAACAACUCCACAAACCAGAGAUGGCAGAGUUAAUUUUAAAGUUUUUUUCUUUGCUUUUUUUGUCAUCAUGUAUCUUGAUUAUUUUGAAUUUAUUAGACAAUAGAAUAAAAAGUAUCAGCUGGUCAACCUUCAUAGAAAUAGAUGACAGUGAAUUGGAAGACUUUGUGCUUGAGAGGUACAGGGCAUACUGGGAAAUAAAAUUAAAAUCAGGACCACCACAUCCUGACUUUAGCGGAAGAUUUGAAGCAGAAAUAGCAGAUUCAGCAAAAAACAACACAACACAACGCAUUGUAGCUGAGACCCCCAUGGCUCUCCUCUACAAAAAAGACUUGAAGAAGCUUCCUCAGUGGGAUUUUGAAGAUGUUUACAGUGAAGAUACUCAACAUAGACGACCAACAUGUGCUCAGUCUCUACGAAACUCUCAGGAUGAGAAAUUCAAGAAGGCUUUUCUUCCUAACAUACGUUUGUUUCUGCACAAAGACAACAUUAACAUGAGCGAGUGGAAUCGGCUUUCACAUUUCAACAGUCCUUUUGGAUUUAUGAACUACAAAU